AUGGGUUUCCGAUUACCUGCUAUUAGACGGGCUUCAUUUACUGGUAGCCAAUCAUCAUCAAAAGCUUUGAAUGUGCCAAAAGGUUAUCUUGCAGUGUAUGUCGGAGAGAAAAUGAAGCGCUUUGUUAUCCCUAUGUCUUACUUGAACCAACCUUCAUUUCAAGACUUGCUGAGUCAAGUAGAGGAAGAAUUCGGAUAUGAUCAUCCGAUGGGCGGCCUUACAAUUCCUUGUGCAGAAGAUGUUUUCUUACAUAUUACUUCUAGCUUCAAUGGACUAUAA
rnacentral:lncRNA from 1 species